UACGGAGGGUGCGAGCGUUGUCCGGAAUCACUGGGCGUAAAGGGCGCGUAGGCGGUCCGACAAGUCGGGGGUGAAAUCCUGCAGCUUAACUGCAGAAGUGCCUUCGAUACUGUCGGUCUUGAGGGAGAUAGGGGUGUGCGGAACUUCCAGUGGAGCGGUGAAAUGCGUUGAUAUUGGAAGGAACGCCGGAGGCGAAAGCGGCGCACUGGAUCUCUACUGACGCUGAGGCGCGAAAGCCAGGGGAGCAAACGGG
rnacentral:rRNA from 1 species